GUGGGGAAUAUUGGACAAUGGGCGCAAGCCUGAUCCAGCCAUGCCGCGUGAGUGAUGAAGGCCUUAGGGUUGUAAAGCUCUUUUGUCCGGGAAGAUAAUGACUGUACCGGAAGAAUAAGCCCCGGCUAACUUCGUGCCAGCAGCCGCGGUAAUACGAAGGGGGCUAGCGUUGCUCGGAAUCACUGGGCGUAAAGGGCGCGUAGGCGGACUCUUAAGUCGGGGGUGAAAGCCCAGGGCUCAACCCUGGAAUAGCCUUCGAUACUGAGAGUCUUGAGUUCGGAAGAGGUUGGUGGAAUUGCGAGUGUAGAGGUGAAAUUCGUAGAUAUUCGCAAGAACACCAGUGGCGAAGGCGGCCAACUGGUCCGAUACUGACGCUGAGGCGCGAAAGCGUGGGGAGCAAACAGGAUUAGAAACCCCGGUAGUCC
rnacentral:rRNA from 1 species